AAAUGCCAGUAAAGUAAUCAGCAAGCAUAACAAUGUCGACACACGCAGGAUCCGACUACGGUCUGAAGACUUGGAUCAAUGGACUGAACCUUGGAAAGUCCAAGUCUCACGUGCUCAAAUUCUAGCUGGGCUCAGCGCUCCAGAGAAGAAAGCCCAACGCUCCUUCAACCAGCGCCCAUUCCUCACGCCAUUCAACCAAACUCAGCCAGCGGGAGAAAACAAAAAGAAACACUGUUUUGUUGCAACCUCGAUGAAUAGCCCAAGCGAUUCGACGGCUGCGUAUGCGCAGGCGUAGCACCUCUCUCACAACCCCAGCCGUUAUCUGCAAAUCCUCCAUCCGCCAUCCAAGACAUACAAAACCAUGUCCUUCACCCAACCCGUCCCCGCCGAGUACCAAACCCCGUCGUUCCCUUCCCUCUACGUGUCCUCGGGCUUCUACCACGAUGGAUACCAAUACCUCUAUUACACGAAGGACAUAUGGCGCUUCACGCUCUUCUGGACGCUGCUCUUCUAUAUGGGUGCGCAUCUCUCCGCCGCCCUGUGUGCCGUCGUAAUGCAAUGGCGUAACUGGAAGCUCGUCUGGGCUGUGGUUUUAGUAUACGGACUCAUUGCUGGUUUGGAAGGGUUGCUGGCGGGUAGUGUCACGGGCCUUAUUCUCGGGGCUGUCUAUGAAGCCGGCAACUAUAAAAUGUCCACUUGGAUUCCUUUUUCGUGGGCGGCGCUUAAUACAUUGGUCUUGAUUCUCUCGAGCUUUUCGAUCCAGGGAGGGCUAUAGGCAACUCACGGCGCGUCGUUGACAAACAUUCUUAUUCACUUUAUCGACGACAUAUAGCUGAAAACGGAGGGAAACAAGCAACCCGACAUCCAUAAAAGUUUUGAGAGAAAGGGCUGGGUAAUAUCACUACCGUAGCUACAGUAUCAGCGGUAGUUCAGCCUAGAAAUAGGAAACAGCGCAAUACCAAUAAUCGGAUCCAACGCUAUACGCAUUCUUCUCUACAGUAUACUGGAUAUCUACCGCAAACCGAUGUCAUGGGAUAAGUGGGAUAAGAAAUAAAACAGAUAUUUCACCUAAUUCCCCCGUCGUUGCUCUUCCAUUAAGCUAUCUUGCUGGCUUGGCAAAGGCCCGCGUUUCCUUAUUCCAUUCGUGAAAUCCUCAUUUAGGUCGCCGGUUGGGGCUUGGCCUUGAAGACCGGGGAUUCCUGAAGACGUGAAGCCUCCGCCACCCUGCGUAGGAAAGUUUUGGUUUUGCUGGAACGUAUAGGAUUGCUGCUGAUGCUGUUGUUGUUGAGAAAAGAACUGGUUUUGUAAAGAUGAUAGAUCCAUAUGUGGGGCGAGACCACCUCCCUGCAUACCAGGCAUGGGAUAUGUCGGCGGGCGUAAGUUUGGUGGUAAGGAUUCGAGUUGUGGCGGAGGAAACGAGCCGGAAGAUAUCAUCGCCGCCAGACGGCUUGGUUCGACUUGCGACAUGGAUGAAACCGUACCUGAAGGGGGUGGCGGGGGUGGCUGAACUGCCCCAAUUCCUGGUAUCAGCCCUGGAAGCCCGACAUUCUCCCCAACCCCGGGAACACCCUGGAUUCCGAGAAGAACUGAAGCAUCGCGCUUCUUCUGGUCAACAAGUCCCUCCGCCUCAUCUUGAAGUUCCUGCUCCUCUUCUUCCUUCAUCUGUCGACGGCCAAAGCCACGGCUCCAAGUUCCCUGGGCUUCUGCGGCUUCUUCGCCAAUGUGGAAUCUAUCCUUCAGAUAGCUGGUUUCGCCGGGUCGGGCGCGGGACCAAAAUCGGGUAAAAUUAUCCUUGGAGCCGGACGCCAGAAUGUGGCCGAGGGGAUGCCAGUCGAGGGUCCAUAUAGUAGACGAAUGGGCAUAGGGAAUACGAUGAGCGGGGAAUAUAACUUGGGCGGGGGUGUUAGCAGGAUCAGCGCUGUCGUAUGGCGCGACAGUGGGGAUCUGCCCAGCUGGUAGAUUCUGCUCAUCCAAUAAAUAAUGAUGAAUUGAACCAUCUUCACUUCCCGUAGAGAUAAGCGAACUAUGAAUCGGGUGCCACGUCAUGGAAGAUAUCGGCUUCUCAUGUCCUCGUAAAAUGCAUAUGUCUCGCAUCAUCCGU
rnacentral:sRNA from 1 species